rnacentral:rRNA from 1 species
UACAUGGGGUGCAAACGUUGCUCGGAAUUAUUGGGCGUAAAGCGCACGUAGGCGGUUCGUUAAGUCGGAUGUGAAAGCCCUCGGCUCAACUGAGGAAGUGCACCCGAAACUGGCGAGCUUGAGUACGAAAGAGGAUCGCGGAAUUCCCGGUGUAGAGGUGAAAUUCGUAGAUAUGGGGAGGAACACCGGUGGCGAAGGCGGCCAUCUGGACGGUGACUGACGCUGAGACGCGAAAGCGUGGGGAGCAAACAGG